UCCGGAAUUAUUGGGCGUAAAGCGCCUGUAGGUUGUUUAAUAAGUCUGGUAUUAAAGACUAGGGCUCAACCCUAGAAAAAUAUUGGAUACUGUUAAGCUCGAGUAUGGUAGAGGUAGAGGGAAUUUCUAGUGUAGCGGUGAAAUGCGUAGAUAUUAGAAAGAACACCGGUGGCGAAAGCGCUCUACUGGGCCAUUACUGACACUCAGAGGCGAAAGCUAGGGGAGCAAAAGGGAUUAGAUACCCCUGUAGUCCUAGCCGUAAACGAUGGAUACUAGGUGUUGUAUUUUUUUUACAGUAUCGUAGCUAACGCGUUAAAUAUCCCGCCUGGGGAGUACGCUCGCAAGGGUGAAACUCAAAGGAAUUGACGGGGGCCCGCACAAGCGGUGGAGCAUGUGGUUUAAUUCGAUGCAACGCGAAGAACCUUACCAGGACUUGACAUACUACAAAUCUUUUAGAAAUAGAAGAGUGCCUUCGGGAAUGUAGAUACAGGUGGUGCAUGGCUGUCGUCAGCUCGUGCCGUGAGAUGUUGGGUUAAGUCCCGCAACGAGCGCAACCCUCGUUUUUAGUUGCCGUUUUCGGAUCUCUAGAAAGACUGCCGGUGACAAACCGGAGGAAGGUGAGGAUGACGUCAAGUCAGCAUGCCCCUUAUGUCCUGGGCUACACACGUGCUACAAUGAUAAAAACAAAGAGUCGUAAACCCGCGAGGACUAACUAAUCUCAUAAAUUUUAUCUCAGUUCGGAUUGUAGGCUGCAAC
rnacentral:rRNA from 1 species